CUUAAGGCUUCUUAAGACCUCUUAAGGCCGCCCAUGGCGUCGCGGGGCGACGCCGGUCGGCCCUCGCUUCCCAUAUUUUAAUAUCUCCCUUCCUCGGAAUAAAUUAUCCGGAAAUUAAAUCCUCAACUUCCGAGUCUCCCACAUUAAUACUUUCUUUCCUCGAAACUCAAUUUAUUCAGAAAUUAAUUUAAUUAAGCUCCAAGCUCAAACUUUAAAUUAAUUCCACUCUAACAAUAUCUAAAUCUCUUCCAAGACAAUUAAUCGAAGCCCUCAAGUUAAUGGCCCAACUAUCAAAUUAUUCAAGAGGCCCAAACAAAAGAAAUAUGGAAGCCCAAAAAUAUACUCCCUUCUCCAUCGACAUCAUCCCUCUUCCCAAAUCACUUUCCCAAAUCAAAUCCCUAAAAGAAAAAUUGAGGAGAAACGGCGGUUCCUCCCUUUUCUUCCCUCUGCGACAUUAUCACUCCCGACGGCUUCCGGAGUCUCAUCGGCGUAUGCUGCCCCUACCUUGACGGAUUUUCAGAGUCCGUCGGGCGCUCCCUCCUCAAUCGUGUUCUCUCCCUCACAUGAGUUCGGGGAGUCCUCGGCCGCUCGACGAGCAGGGCUGCCGCCUGCUGCGUCGCCAGCCAUCGCCGCCCCCGUGUUCCUCCGAAUCGCUCCGUCGGGUUCCCCGAGAGGCAGCGUCUCCGGCUCGCUCUCGACCUCCCUUCGACGGUGUCGACACUGGAUGCUCCAUCGCGCUACUGCUCCGGCAGCGCCUCCGUCCUAGCCGGAUCCCUCGGAGCUCGUCGCUGCUCGUCCGCCGCCGGACAGCCCUGCCCACCUAAAGCUAAGUCCUUCUCCCCUACCCACUUUACUUAGUGUUCUUUACUGGAGUUAGCAUUUCUCACUUUUCCUUGGUUAUUAGUGUAGAUCUUCUCAUCUUGGCAGUAGCUAUGUUUUGAGUUUCCACGAUGAAGUCUUAGUAUGCAUAGCUCACUGGAUUGAGCAAUAACAUUGGUAUUUUGCAAAUUAUGAUGAGGUUAUACUUGGUUGAUUGUUACCGCCGAUGUUGAUACUCAUCCUAUGUGCUACUUACUUGGGCCAUUAUUGUGAGGAUCCUAAUGAGCUUCUAUGUUCUUGGCUAUCUACUUGGUCUAUAUGAUGCGAUGGUGAGGUGUUGUGGGGAUUACCUCACUUGGUGAAUCCUCGGUUUGUGCGGCUGUUCCUUCGUAUUGCCGCUGCUCCGCGCCGCCGCUCCUCACUCCGCUGCACUCCCUUGCCUUGCGAGAAAUUUGCAGAAUAUGUGUGUGGAGUGGGGAGGGGAGGGCGGUAUUUAUAAGCCAUUCCUUUGGCUUCUUGUGGCAGCUUAUGGGGCAUUGAGCUCCUAUUUUCGGACUGCUACCUCAGCCUCGGAUGGUGGGAAAAGAGGGUUCUAGAUCAGCUUAUUUUGAGCAUAAACAUUGGCUCCAUUUACCAUGCUCAUUUGUUCUAACUUGCACUUUGGUGUAAGGUGGAAAAGUGAUAAGGUACCAUGGCUACCCAUGUUUGGACUCUUGUGGGUGCCAAAAUCGAGGGGAGGAAGAGGAGAAGAUGGAAGUAGGAGUUGACUAGUAUACUACUUGUCCCUUUGCCAAAAUAGUAUAAUUGCUAGAGUGUAGUGAUGGAAUCUUCAAAGUGAAGAUAUUGCAUUCUAAAAUUGUAAUGCCUCAUGGUGAAAUUCUUAUAUGUAUAGUCCUUUUCCCAAUGUACUCAUAUACUACUUGUAAUUCCAUCAUUCUUGUAUAUCUUGUACUCUUCAACUUGCUUAUUAAA